rnacentral:sRNA from 1 species
GCUGCCUGAGGCACUCUUCUCCAGCCUCCUCAGCCUUCCAUGGAGCUGCAGACCCUACAUAGACCUACCCCUGCUGGGCUCCAAACAGAUCCCCCUACCCAUUCCUUUCAUGUACUGUUUGGUCCUGGAAGAGGCUCACACAAGUUGGCUUUGGGUUUUGCUUCAACAUAGAAACCACGAGCCUUAUACCUUGAAUAUGGGUAGUUUCAUUGCCAGUAAUGGGAACUCUGGAACUGUCAAAGGGACUGUAUCCUCAUUCUGACCUGGUGUUGCUUUCUUUUGUUAGGCUUCCCAGCUCUGUGCCCAGCAGCCUGUCCAGAGUGAGCUGGUACAGAGAUGCCAACAACUGCAGUCUCGCUUAUCCACUCUAAAGAUUGAAAAUGAAGAGGUAAAGAAGACAAUGGAGGCCACCCUGCAAACCAUCCAGGACAUUGUGACUGUCGAGGACUUUGAUGUGUCUGACUGCUUCCAGUACAGCAACUCCAUGGAGUCCGUCAAGUCCACGGUCUCCGAAACCUUCAUGAGCAAGCCCAGCAUUGCUAAGAGGAGAGCCAACCAGCAAGAGACAGAGCAGUUUUAUUUCACAGUAAGGGAGUGCUAUGGCUUUUAAAGUGCGUCAGCAUGCACUGCAGCACUCAAGGGAGAUUUGGAACUCAAAGUCCUUGAUAAAUGUCUGAAGGACAGGCGUUGAAUAUCUUAGAUACGAAUGUGGGCAUACUCAGAGACCAUCCCUACACUUAAAGGUGCAAACAUUUAUAAGUUGUAUAUGUCUAACAGGGAUCCCCCUAAGAGAAAGGAUGCUCCCAAGUAUACUACUAAGAAGAUUUUCUUUUUUAAGAAAUUUUUAACUAGCUAUUAGGCUUUCACUGGAAGGUUUCCUUCUCAGGCACAGGGGAUCCUGAAAGGGGAACUUCAUCUUUUAGUCCUUGGAAAGUACAUACAAAUAUUCAUAAUAACACAUAUUUUGUUUAUAAAAAUCUAUAAUCUCUUCUAGGUGAUAUGAUGACAUUAUUUUAUCACUUUUAUUGUUGGAAAUCUAUUUUUUCUAAUUAUUGUUAAAACUUAAAGGAUGGGUAAUAUGCAGCAUUACUAUUUUGCACAUAAUUCCAAAACAUCGUAUUUUCUUAUUCAUGUAUCUCUAGUCUUCUUUUAGACAGUUGGACCCUUUUUCCUUUUUCUUUUUUUUUUUUUAAGUAUUGUUAACAAUCUUUUGGAAGUCACUACUGGUCUUUGUGUGCUGCUUUUUAUAAUUGAGUUAUUUUGAGCUUGCCAAGUAGGAACUAUUACCUGGACUAAAAUUUAUUUCCUAAUCUUCUGAUGACCAAGAAAGGAAAAAUUAAGUUUGCAGAUGUAAGAUGAAAUAUAGCCAGUGAAUAUGCAUACUGAUUCUGAAUGAAAGGAAUUAACUUUUCAGUCAAGAAGCAGUCUGCAUGCAGUAAAUUGAAUUUUUCCUGCAACUGGAAUGAUUUGUUUAAUUCUUCUUUGAACACUGCCCUUUCUCCAGUAAGAACACUAAUGAUUUGCUAAUAUUUUUUAAAGAAAUUUGUUUUUUUAAUUAGUUAAGCUCAGACUUCCUCAUAUUUUUUAUCCUAGAGAAAACUGCUAAAAGGGAAUGAUAUGUCAGUACUAUUCUUCUAAAACAACUUUUAAAAAAUGAUUAUACAAAGCCAAAUAUGCUCAUUGUAUAAAAUUUAGAAGCAAAAAGAAGGAAAUAAAAAUUGUCCAUAAUUCUACCAGCUAGAGAUAAUGGUGUUAGAAUAUAUUCCUUUCUAAUCUGUUUUCUAUGCAUGCACAAACACAUAUGUGAGCACAUAUUUAUAAUUUUAUUCUAAAAAAUAGGAUACUGCUGUACAUACUGUUUUACAAUCUAAGUCAUAAUUAUAAUAUUCUUUAAGCAUAUUUAUGAGUAACAUAUUAAAACCUAUAAAAAAAUAAUAGAAUGACAUUUUAGCUCAUUCAUUGAUUUUUGUAAAAUAUUUAACACACUCCCUGGUUUGUAGUUAGCGUUCAAUAAAUGCUAAAAAUUUAUCUUCAC